rnacentral:misc_RNA from 1 species
AGCAGCCGCGGUAAUUCAGCUCCAAUAGCGUAUAUUAAAGUUGCUGCAGUUAAAAGCUCGUAGUUGAAUUUCGGGACUAAUAUGUCGGUCGUGCCUCGGUACGUACUGGUUUAUUGGUUUCUCCUUUCUGAAGAACCAUGAUGUCAUUUAUUUGGUGUCGUGGGGAAUCAGGACUGUUACUUUGAAAAAUUAGAGUGUUUAAAGCAGGCUCACGCUUGAAUACAUUAGCAUGGAAUAAUGAAAUAGGACGUUUGAUUCUAUUUUGUUGGUUUCUAGGAUCGACGUAAUGAUUAAUAGGGAUAGUUGGGGGCAUUAGUAUUCAAUUGUCAGAGGUGAAAUUCUUGGAUUUAUUGAAGACUAACUACUGCGAAAGCAUUUGCCAAGGAUGUUUUCAUUAAUCAAGAACGAAAGUUAGGGAUCGAAGACGAUCAGAUACCGUCGUAGUCUUAACCAUAAACUAUGCCGACUAGGGAUCGGAUGAUGUUAAUUUUUUAAUGUACUCAUUCGGCGCCUUACGGGU